GCAAGUCGAACGAGAAAGCUCCCUUCGGGGAGUGAGUAAAGUGGCGAACGGGUGAGUAACGGGUGGAAAACCUGCCCUUCAAUGGGGGAUAACAGUUCUAACGAGCUGCUAAUACCGCAUACGACCUUUGGUCCACAUGGUCUAAAGGUGAAAGGUGGCCUCUCUAUAGAAGCUGCUGUUGAAGGAUGGUUCCGCCUCCCAUUAGCUUGUUGGUGGGGUAAUGGCCUACCAAGGCGACGAUGGGUAGCCGGCCUGAGAGGGUGUCC
rnacentral:rRNA from 1 species